CCUACGGGCGGCAGCAGUGGGGAAUAUUGGACAAUGGGGGGAACCCUGAUCCAGCCAUGCCGCGUGUGUGAAGAAGGCCCUCGGGUUGUAAAGCACUUUCAGUGAGGAAGAACGCCUGGUGGUUAAUACCCAUCAGGAAAGACAUCACUCACAGAAGAAGCACCGGCUAACUCCGUGCCAGCAGCCGCGGGAAUACGGAGGGUGCGAGCGUUAAUCGGAAUUACUGGGCGUAAAGCGCGCGUAGGUGGCUUGAUAAGCCGGUUGUGAAAGCCCCGGGCUCAACCUGGGAACGGCAUCCGGAACUGUCAAGCUAGAGUGCAGGAGAGGAAGGUAGAAUUCCCGGUGUAGCGGUGAAAUGCGUAGAGAUCGGGAGGAAUACCAGUGGCGAAGGCGGCCUUCUGGACUGACACUGACACUGAGGUGCGAAAGCGUGGGUAGCAAACAGGAUUAGAUACCCUAGUAGUC
rnacentral:rRNA from 1 species